rnacentral:misc_RNA from 1 species
CCGAAUUGUCGACACGAGUUGUUGCUGGCCCUCGAAGGGAGGCACGUGCACGCUCUGUUUACACAUCCACUCACACCUGUGCACCCUCUGUAGUUCUAUGGCCUGGGGAACACCGUCCUCUUGCUGUGGUCCUACGUUUUUACACACACACUGUAACAAAGUCUUAUGGAAUGCAUGUCGCGUUUAACGCAAUACAAUA